rnacentral:rRNA from 1 species
ACGGGAGGCAGCAGUGGGGGAUAUUGCACAAUGGGGGAAACCCUGAUGUAGCGACGCCGCGUGAGCGAAGAAGUAUUUCGGUAUGUAAAGCUCUAUCAGCAGGGAAGAAAAUGACGGUACCUGACUAAGAAGCCCCGGCUAACUACGUGCCAGCAGCCGCGGUAAUACGUAGGUGGCAAGCGUUAUCCGGAUUUACUGGGUGUAAAGGGAGCGUAGACGGCGAGGCAAGUCUGAUGUGAAAGCUCGGGGCUCAACCCCGGAACUGCAUUGGAAACUGUUUUGCUAGAGUGUCGGAGAGGUAAGCGGAAUUCCUAGUGUAGCGGUGAAAUGCGUAGAUAUUAGGAGGAACACCAGUGGCGAAGGCGGCUUACUGGACGAUAACUGACGUUGAGGCUCGAAAGCGUGGGGAGCAAACAGGAUUAGAUACCCUGGUA